UCCGGUUUGUCACCGGCAGUCUCCUUAGAGUUCCCACCAUUACGUGCUGGCAACUAAGGACAAGGGUUGCGCUCGUUGCGGGACUUAACCCAACAUCUCACGACACGAGCUGACGACAGCCAUGCAGCACCUGUCUCUCGGUUCCCGAAGGCACCAAUCCAUCUCUGGAAAGUUCCGAGGAUGUCAAGACCUGGUAAGGUUCUUCGCGUUGCAUCGAAUUAAACCACAUGCUCCACCGCUUGUGCAGGCCCCCGUCAAUUCCUUUGAGUUUUAAUCUUGCGGCCGUACUCCCCAGGCGGAACACUUAACGCGUUGGCUUCGGUACAGGGGGAUUCGACUCCCCCCACACCUAGUGUUCAUCGUUUACGGCAUGGACUAC
rnacentral:misc_RNA from 1 species